rnacentral:rRNA from 1 species
UACGGAGGGGGGCUAGCGUUGUUCGGAAUUACUGGGCGUAAAGCGCACGUAGGCGGCUUUGUAAGUUAGAGGUGAAAGCCCGGGGCUCAACUCCGGAAUUGCCUUUAAGACUGCAUCGCUCGAAUUGUGGAGAGGUAAGUGGAAUUCCGAGUGUAGAGGUGAAAUUCGUAGAUAUUCGGAAGAACACCAGUGGCGAAGGCGACUUACUGGACACAUAUUGACGCUGAGGUGCGAAAGCGUGGGGAGCAAACAGG